AGUGAACGCUGGCGGUAGGCCUAACACAUGCAAGUCGAACGGCAGCACAGUAAGAGCUUGCUCUUACGGGUGGCGAGUGGCGGACGGGUGAGGAAUACAUCGGAAUCUACUUUUUCGUGGGGGAUAACGUAGGGAAACUUCCGCUAAUACCGCAUACGACCUACGGGUGAAAGCAGGGGAUCUUCGGACCUUGCGCGAUUGAAUGAGCCGAUGUCGGAUUAGCUAGUUGGCGGGGUAAAGGCCCACCAAGGCGACGAUCCGUAGCUGGUCUGAGAGGAUGAUCAGCCACACUGGAACUGAGACACGGUCCAGACUCCUACGGGAGGCAGCAGUGGGGAAUAUUGGACAAUGGGCGCAAGCCUGAUCCAGCCAUGCCGCGUGGGUGAAGAAGGCCUUCGGGUUGUAAAGCCCUGUUGUUGGGAAAGAAAAGCAGCAGGUGAAUACCCCGCUGUUCUGACGGUACCCAAAGAAUAAGCACCGGCUAACUUCGUG
rnacentral:rRNA from 1 species